rnacentral:rRNA from 1 species
UACCAGCACCCCGAGUGGUCGGGACGAUUAUUGGGCCUAAAGCAUCCGUAGCCGGCCCUACAAGUCCUCCGUUAAAUCCAGCUGCUUAACAGAUGGGCUGCGGAGGAUACUAUAAGACUAGGAGGCAGGAGAGGCAAGCGGUACUCAGUGGGUAGGGGUAAAAUCCGUUGAUCCAUUGAAGACCACCAGUGGCGAAGGCGGCUUGCCAGAAUGCGCUCGACGGUGAGGGAUGAAAGCUGGGGGAGCAAACCGG